rnacentral:rRNA from 1 species
GGGUUGUGAGGUUAAGCGACUAAGCGUACACGGUGGAUGCCCUGGCAGUCAGAGGCGAUGAAGGACGUGCUAAUCUGCGAAAAGCGUCGGUAAGGUGAUAUGAACCGUUAUAACCGGCGAUGUCCGAAUGGGGAAACCCAGUGCAAUUCGUUGCACUAUCGUUAACUGAAUACAUAGGUUAACGAGGCGAACCGGGGGAACUGAAACAUCUAAGUACCCCGAGGAAAAGAAAUCAACCGAGAUUCCCCCAGUAGCGGCGAGCGAACGGGGAGCAGCCCAGAGUCUGAAUCAGCUUGUGUGUUAGUGGAACGGUCUGGAAAGUCCGACGGUACAGGGUGAUAGUCCCGUACACCAAAAUGCACAGGCUGUGAACUCGAAGAGUAGGGCGGGACACGUGGUAUCCUGUCUGAAUAUGGGGGGACCAUCCUCCAAGGCUAAAUACUCCUGACUGACCGAUAGUGAACCAGUACCGUGAGGGAAAGGCGAAAAGAACCCCGGCGAGGGGAGUGAAAAAGAACCUGAAACCGUGUACGUACAAGCAGUGGGAGCACCUUCGGGUGUGACUGCGUACCUUUUGUAUAAUGGGUCAGCGACUUAUAUUCUGUAGCAAGGUUAACCGUAUAGGGGAGCCGCAGGGAAACCGAGUCUUAACUGGGCGUUAAGUUGCAGGGUAUAGACCCGAAACCCGGUGAUCUAGCCAUGGGCAGGUUGAAGGUUGGGUAACACUAACUGGAGGACCGAACCGACUAAUGUUGAAAAAUUAGCGGAUGACUUGUGGCUGGGGGUGAAAGGCCAAUCAAACCGGGAGAUAGCUGGUUCUCCCCGAAAGCUAUUUAGGUAGCGCCUCGUGAACUCAUCUUCGGGGGUAGAGCACUGUUUCGGCUAGGGGGUCAUCCCGACUUACCAACCCGAUGCAAACUACGAAUACCGAAGAAUGUUAUCACGGGAGACACACGGCGGGUGCUAACGUCCGUCGUGAAGAGGGAAACAACCCAGACCGCCAGCUAAGGUCCCAAAGUCAUGGUUAAGUGGGAAACGAUGUGGGAAGGCACAGACAGCCAGGAUGUUGGCUUAGAAGCAGCCAUCAUUUAAAGAAAGCGUAAUAGCUCACUGGUCGAGUCGGCCUGCGCGGAAGAUGUAACGGGGCUAAACCAUGCACCGAAGCUGCGGCAGCGACACUAUGUGUUGUUGGGUAGGGGAGCGUUCUGUAAGCCUGCGAAGGUGUGCUGUGAGGCAUGCUGGAGGUAUCAGAAGUGCGAAUGCUGACAUAAGUAACGAUAAAGCGGGUGAAAAGCCCGCUCGCCGGAAGACCAAGGGUUCCUGUCCAACGUUAAUCGGGGCAGGGUGAGUCGACCCCCUAAGGCGAGGCCGAAAGGCGUAGUCGAUGGGAAACAGGUUAAUAUUCCUGUACUUGGUGUUACUGCGAAGGGGGGACGGAGAAGGCUAUGUUAGCCGGGCGACGGUUGUCCCGGUUUAAGCAUGUAGGCUGGUUAUCCAGGCAAAUCCGGAUAAUCAAGGCUGAGGUGUGAUGACGAGGCACUACGGUGCUGAAGUAACAAAUGCCCUGCUUCCAGGAAAAGCCUCUAAGCAUCAGGUAACAUCAAAUCGUACCCCAAACCGACACAGGUGGUCAGGUAGAGAAUACCAAGGCGCUUGAGAGAACUCGGGUGAAGGAACUAGGCAAAAUGGUGCCGUAACUUCGGGAGAAGGCACGCUGGUGUGUAGGUGAAGUCCCUGCGGAUGGAGCUGAGACCAGUCGAAGAUACCAGCUGGCUGCAACUGUUUAUUAAAAACACAGCACUGUGCAAACACGAAAGUGGACGUAUACGGUGUGACGCCUGCCCGGUGCCGGAAGGUUAAUUGAUGGGGUUAUCCGUAAGGAGAAGCUCUUGAUCGAAGCCCCGGUAAACGGCGGCCGUAACUAUAACGGUCCUAAGGUAGCGAAAUUCCUUGUCGGGUAAGUUCCGACCUGCACGAAUGGCGUAAUGAUGGCCAGGCUGUCUCCACCCGAGACUCAGUGAAAUUGAACUCGCUGUGAAGAUGCAGUGUACCCGCGGCAAGACGGAAAGACCCCGUGAACCUUUACUAUAGCUUGACACUGAACAUUGAGCCUUGAUGUGUAGGAUAGGUGGGAGGCUUUGAAGCGUGGACGCCAGUCUGCGUGGAGCCAACCUUGAAAUACCACCCUUUAAUGUUUGAUGUUCUAACGUUGGCCCCUUACCGGGGUUGCGGACAGUGUCUGGUGGGUAGUUUGACUGGGGCGGUCUCCUCCCAAAGCGUAACGGAGGAGCACGAAGGUUAGCUAAUCCUGGUCGGACAUCAGGAGGUUAGUGCAAUGGCAUAAGCUAGCUUGACUGCGAGCGUGACGGCGCGAGCAGGUGCGAAAGCAGGUCAUAGUGAUCCGGUGGUUCUGAAUGGAAGGGCCAUCGCUCAACGGAUAAAAGGUACUCCGGGGAUAACAGGCUGAUACCGCCCAAGAGUUCAUAUCGACGGCGGUGUUUGGCACCUCGAUGUCGGCUCAUCACAUCCUGGGGCUGAAGUAGGUCCCAAGGGUAUGGCUGUUCGCCAUUUAAAGUGGUACGCGAGCUGGGUUUAGAACGUCGUGAGACAGUUCGGUCCCUAUCUGCCGUGGGCGCUGGAGAAUUGAGGGGGGCUGCUCCUAGUACGAGAGGACCGGAGUGGACGCAUCACUGGUGUUCGGGUUGUCAUGCCAAUGGCACUGCCCGGUAGCUAAAUGCGGAAGAGAUAAGUGCUGAAAGCAUCUAAGCACGAAACUUGCCCCGAGAUGAGUUCUCCCUGAGACUUUAAGUCUCCUGAAGGAACGUUAAAGACGAUGACGUUGAUAGGCCGGGUGUGUAAGCGCAGCGAUGCGUUGAGCUAACCGGUACUAAUGAACCGUGAGGCUUAACCUUACAACGCCGAAG